GAGACAGCAGUCGCCACGGUAAUACGAAGGUCCCGAGCGUUGUUCGGAAUCACUGGGCGUAAAGGGAGCGUAGGCGGCGUGGUAAGUCAGAUGUGAAAUCCCGGGGCUCAACCCCGGAACUGCAUCCGAUACUGCCAUGCUAGAGGAUUGGAGAGGUAGCUGGAAUUCUUGGUGUAGCAGUGAAAUGCGUGGAGAUCAAGAGGAACACUCGUGGCGAAAGCGAGCUACUGGACAAUAACUGACGCUGAGGCUCGAAGGCCAGGGUAGCGAAAGGGAUUAGAUACCCCCGUAGUCCCUGUCUCUUAUAC
rnacentral:rRNA from 1 species